GCUUGAAUGAAAAGGCCCGGGGAAUCACCCACAAGCCUAACAUUGGGAUGGCCUAGCAGCACCACCACCCUGGCCUCCUGGAGGCAGGCGGGGAACAGAAAGCCAGCCGAGAGAACAUGUCCAGGUGUGCUGGGCAGAGCACACAUUGCUUAGUGCCAGUGUCACAAGGAUGGUGAUAUUUACACGGGAUGAGGGACGACACACACAGAGAUGUAAGGGUAGGAGCUGACCAGAACAGCCGUGGUAUCUUCAUGACAGCACACACAGGCAAUGCCAUUGGACUGUGGAGGUCCCGUGGUGCUGGGCACAGCUGGGGGCACAGACCCAGGUUGAGGACCCCUGAGACCUCGUGUGCCCAAGUGGAGGGACAAAACUGGGGAUCCAUGAGGACAUAUGUGCAAAAUUGAACGGUGUGAGAACUCUAUUCCAGGGUGUGUAUGUAAGGAGAGGGCACACAUACACGUAUAAGACACACAAAUGGAAACAUGGGAACAUUGGAGCUAGUGAGGAGACCAGAGCAGCAGGUCAGGGACAGGUGCGUGGGUUCAUGCAGCCUGUGCAGAGCCAAUGACAGACCCCGGUGAGAGCCCAGGACCGAGGUCCCACAUUGGAGAGUCCACGGGGGGACAAGGAAGGCCCCAACUGAGGAAGAUCUGAUUCCACUGAAAACACAGGGUCUCCUCUGCUCACACGGGUGUGAGCCCAUGUAUAAACGGUGAAUGUCCAGGCACCAGCUGGAGGAGGCCCAGACAUCUGAUGGAGGAGGCCCAGGCAUCUGAUGGAGGAGGCCCAGGCACCAGCUGGAGGAGGCCCAGGCAUCUGAUGGAGGAGGCCCAGGUAUCUGAUGGAGGAGGCCUAGGCAUCUGAUGGAGGAGGUCUAGACAGUGGCUGGAAG
rnacentral:lncRNA from 1 species